CAAAAUGCCAGAAGUGUGGCAUAGGUGUUCCACUGCAACUUCUGUCAGAACACCUAAAAUCCUGUCCUCCUUUGGAAACUCCCAGUGAAAGUACUGUGGUGAAUUUAGAUGGUGAUGAACCUACAGAGAAGGAAUCACCAUUGCAGCAGUGUCCUGUCUGCACAGAUAUGUUUCCCUCUGACAUCAUAGAGCUGCAUGCCUCUUCAUGUGGAGAAAGGCUGGUUAGCUGUUUUGGACUCUUCAAAGGCCAUACAUGAAUGUGCAAAGAACGCUUUGGACAUGCAUGAAAUGGAGAGUCCAUUACGUCUCACAAUGGACAUCAGACAAAGUGUAGCUGAUCAGGACAUGGCCCUCAUCUCAUUCUACAAGAGACCCAAUGUUGAAUGGGCACGUCCUUUGGAGUGCAGGCUUGAGGGGGAUACAGCUAUCGGACAAGGAGUAAUACGUUUUUUCUUAUCAACAUGCAUGGAGAAGCUGAUGUCUGGUUUUUGCAUCAAUUUUGCAAACUCCAAUGUUACUCCACUGUUUGAGGGAGAGCCAGGCCAUUACAUACCAUCAGCAUCUCACUUUCUUGUGGAAAGUGAUAUGUUCCUUAUGGCAGGGAGAAUGGUAGGGCACUCCUUUCUUCAUGGAGGCCCAUGCCUAUCUGGACUUAGCCCAGCCAUUGUGCACGUCCUACUUGGUGGUAGUCCUGAAACUGCCACAGUUACACCCGAGGACUGUCCAGACCUAGACCUGAGAGGGACAAUUCAGCUUCUUCAAGGGCAAUCAAAGCUGUCAGAUGAAGAGAGAAAACGUGUUCAGGAUCUGGCAUAUGCAUGGGACCUCCCUCCCUUGACAGAGAACAACAGGAGAUGGCUGUUUGAGAAAUUAUUACUCCAUUCUGUCAUUGGGAGAGUGACGAGGUCAAUAAAACAGCUGAGAAGGGGACUUAAAGAAACCCCUAUGUGGACCCUGCUGACCCGGCGACCUGACACGGUGCCCUUACUCUUUCCACAAGAGUUGGCUGCUGUGAACCCUAAGGUCCUUCUUCAGCGUAUUGUGUGGCCUGAAGAUGAAGAUGAUGACUGUCCUCUUCAAACUAAAUGCAGAAUCAUAGGCUACAUGAGGCAUUUUAUUGUAAAUGCAACACCAAGUGAGCUGACAAAUCUCCUAAAAUUCUGGACUGGAUGGGAGAUUGUGCCAAAAAGUCUCACAGUGGAGCUAGUAGAUGGCAGACAUCCAACUGCUGCCACCUGCUAUGAGACCUUGCGCAUUCCAUACCACUACAAGGACUAUUUAACUUUUAAGGAAGACCUCAUUGCCUGCUCUGAAACCUGCCACUCUGGGUUUGGACUCAUUUGAGUCAUUCCCAUAACGCAAGGUAGUGGUGUAGAAGGCUCUGUUCAAGAUUUGGAAUAUAAAUGUUCACAUCUACUGGGCCUCUCUGGUGCUAUUUACUCUGUGCAGGCAACAUCGGUUCUUGGUUCAGUUCUCGGUUGAAAUUGCUUUUAAGUAGUUCUGAAAACUGUUAAAGAUAAUGUCUUACAUGUAAGAUGUCAGUGACAAGGUAAACUUUCAUCUUGAUCAAAAUAAAGGACAAGAUUGA